rnacentral:rRNA from 1 species
AUUGAACGCUGGCGGCAUGCCUUACACAUGCAAGUCGAACGGCAGCACGGGAGCAAUCCUGGUGGCGAGUGGCGAACGGGUGAGUAAUAUAUCGGAACGUGCCCAGUCGUGGGGGAUAACGCAGCGAAAGCUGUGCUAAUACCGCAUACGAUCUACGGAUGAAAGCGGGGGAUCGCAAGACCUCGCGCGAUUGGAGCGGCCGAUAUCAGAUUAGCUAGUUGGUGAGGUAAAGGCUCACCAAGGCGACGAGCUGUAGCUGGUCUGAGAGGACGACCAGCCACACUGGAACUGAGACACGGUCCAGACUCCUACGGGGGGCAGCAGUGGGGAAUUUUGGACAAUGGGAGCAAGCCUGAUCCAGCAAUGCCGCGUGCAGGAUGAAGGCCUUCGGGUUGUAAACUGCUUUUGUACGGAACGAAACGGUGAGCUCUAAUACAGUUUGCUAAUGACGGUACCGUAAGAAUAAGCACCGGCUAACUACGUGCCAGCAGCCGCCGUAA